AAUCAACGCUGGCGGCGUGCCUAACACAUGCAAGUCGAACGCGAAAGGGGAGCAAUCCCUGAGUAGAGUGGCAAACGGGUGAGUAACACGUGGGUGACCUGCCUUCGAGUGGGGGAUAACGUCCCGAAAGGGACGCUAAUACCGCAUGACAUCCUGCCUUUGGACAGGCGAAGAUCAAAGCUGGGGAUCGCAAGACCUGGCGCUUGAAGAGGGGCCCGCGCCUGAUUAGCUAGUUGGUGAGGUAAUGGCUCACCAAGGCGACGAUCAGUAGCCGGCCUGAGAGGGCGGACGGCCCCACUGGGACUGAGACACGGCCCAGACUCCUACGGGAGGCAGCAGUGGGGAAUUUUGGACAAUGGGCGCAAGCCUGAUCCAGCCAUUCCGCGUGCAGGAUGAAGGCCCUCGGGUUGUAAACUGCUUUUGUACGGAACGAAACGGCGCUCUCUAAUACAGGGCGCUAAUGACGGUACCGUAAGAAUAAGCACCGGCUAACUACGUGCCAGCAGCCGCCGUAACAC
rnacentral:rRNA from 1 species